AGUGCUCGAAAGAGAGCCAUAACACAGGUGCUGCAUGGCUGUCGUCAGCUCGUGUCGUGAGAUGUUGGGUUAAGUCCCGCAACGAGCGCAACCCUUGCCAUUAGUUGCUACGAAAGGGCACUCUAAUGGGACUGCCGGUGACAAACCGGAGGAAGGUGGGGAUGACGUCAAGUCCUCAUGGCCCUUAUAGGUGGGGCUACACACGUCAUACAAUGGCUGGUACAGAGGGUUGCCAACCCGCGAGGGGGAGCCAAUCCCAUAAAGCCAGUCGUAGUCCGGAUCGCAGUCUGCAACUCGACUGCGUGAAGUCGGAAUCGCUAGUAAUCGCGGAUCAGAAUGUCGCGGUGAAUACGUUCCCGGGUCUUGUACACACCGCCCGUCACAC
rnacentral:rRNA from 1 species